rnacentral:tRNA from 1 species
AGCAGGUGGCAUAACAGUUAGGGUUCUGCUUUGCACUUUGAAUGUCGUGGGUUCGAAUCCCACUCCUGCUA